UGACCCCAUGCCGAACUCAGCAGUGAAACGCCGUAGCGCCGAUGGUAGUGUGGGGUCUCCCCAUGCGAGAGUAGGGAACUGCCAGGC
rnacentral:rRNA from 1 species